CCUACGGGAGGCAGCAGUGAGGAAUAUUGGUCAAUGGGCGCGAGCCUGAACCAGCCAAGUAGCGUGAAGGAUGACUGCCCUACGGGUUGUAAACUUCUUUUAUAAAGGAAUAAAGUGAGGCACGUGUGCCUUUUUGUAUGUACUUUAUGAAUACGGAUCGGCUAACUCCGUGCCAGCAGCCGCGGUAAUACGGAGGAUCCGAGCGUUAUCCGGAUUUAUUGGGUUUAAAGGGAGCGUAGAUGGGUUGUUAAGUCAGUUGUGAAAGUUUGCGGCUCAACCGGAAAAUUGCAAUUGAUACUGGCAGCCGGGAGUACAGUUGAGGUAGGCGGAAUUCGUGGUGUAGCGGUGAAAUGCUUAGAUAUCACGAAGAACUCCGAUUGCGAAGGCAGCUUACUAAACUGCAACUGACAUUGAUGCUCGAAAGUGUGGGUAUCAAACAGGAUUAGAUACCCUAGUAGUC
rnacentral:rRNA from 1 species